UGAGUAGGCGGUAAUAUGUGUCAGAUGUAAAAGGCUAUGGCUUAACCAUAGUUGGCAUUUGAAACUGCAUUACUUGAGUGCAGGAGAGGUAAGUGGAAUUCCUAGUGUAGCGGUGAAAUGCGUAGAUAUUAGGAGGAACACCAGUGGCGAAGGCGACUUACUGGACUGUAACUGACGCUGAGUCACGAAAGCGUGGGUAGCAAACA
rnacentral:rRNA from 1 species